UACACGACGCUCUUCCGAUCUAAACCAUGGCAAACUCCGAAUACUUGGAAGUUGAGCACGGGAGACAGAGCACCGGGUGCUAACGUCCGGACUCAAGAGGGAAACAACCCAGACCGCCGGCUAAGGUCCCUAAUAUUGUCUAAGUGGAAAACGAAGUGGAAAGGCUAAAACAGUCAGGAAGUUGGCUUAGAAGCAGCCAUCCUUUAAAGAAAGCGUAAUAGCUCACUGAUCGAGUCUUUCUGCGCGGAAGAUGUAACGGGGCUAAGACAAUAACCGAAGCCGCGGAUUCACACGUAAGUGUGAGUGGUAGGGGAGCGUUCUGUAAGCCUGCGAAGGUGGCUUGUAAAGGCUGCUGGAGGUAUCAGAAGUGCGAAUGCUGACAUGAGUAACGUUAAAGUGGGUGAAAAGCCCACUCGCCGUAAGCCCAAGGUUUCCUGCUCUACGUUCAUCGGAGCAGGGUGAGUCGGCCCCUAAGGUGAGGCUGAUAAGCGUAACUGAUGGGAACAAGGUUAAUAUUCCUUGACCGCCGUUGAGUGCGAAGGGGGGACGGAGUAUUGAAGAUCAUCCGGGUGUUGGAUAUCCCGGUUUGCGCGCGUAGGAGGCUGAUAGGCAAAUCCGUCAGCGAAUCUCCGAGGCAAAGCAUCGAGACCUUUUAGGUCGAAGUGAUUGGAUGUGCUCCCAGGAAAAGCCUCUAAGCUCCAGCUCAACGGGACCGUACCGCAAACCGACACUGGUGGGCGAGCUGAAUAUGCUCAGGCGCUUGAGAGAACUCAGGAGAAGGAACUCGGCAAAUUGACACCGUAACUUCGGGAUAAGGUGUGCCUUUGUAGUGUGAAGGAAGAAACAUCCGGAGCAUGAAGAGGUCUCAGAGAAUUGGUGGCUGCGACUGUUUACUAAAAACACAGCACUCUGCAAAGACGAAAGUCGACGUAUAGGGUGUGAUGCCUGCCCGGUGCUGGAAGAUUAAUUGAUGGGGUGCAAGCUCCUGAUCGAAGUCCCAGUAAACGGCGGCCGUAACUAUAACGGUCCUAAGGUAGCGAAAUUCCUUGUC
rnacentral:rRNA from 1 species